rnacentral:rRNA from 1 species
UACGUAGGGUGCAAGCGUUAAUCGGAAUUACUGGGCGUAAAGCGUGCGCAGGCGGUUGGCAAAGUCAGCUGUGAAAGCCCCGGGCUUAACCUGGGAAUGGCGGUUGAAACUAGGCGACUAGAAUCUGGCAGAGGGGGGUGGAAUUCCACGUGUAGCAGUGAAAUGCGUAGAGAUGUGGAGGAACACCGAUGGCGAAGGCAGCCCCCUGGGCUGAGAUUGACGCUCAGGCACGAAAGCGUGGGGAGCAAACAGG